rnacentral:rRNA from 1 species
AGCGUACACGGUGGAUGCCCUGGCAGUCAGAGGCGAUGAAGGACGUGCUAAUCUGCGAUAAGCGUCGGUAAGGUGAUAUGAACCGUUAUAACCGGCGAUUUCCGAAUGGGGAAACCCAGUGUGAUUCGUCACACUAUCAUUAACUGAAUCCAUAGGUUAAUGAGGCGAACCGGGGGAACUGAAACAUCUAAGUACCCCGAGGAAAAGAAAUCAACCGAGAUUCCCCCAGUAGCGGCGAGCGAACGGGGAGCAGCCCAGAGCCUGAAUCAGUGUGUGUGUUAGUGGAAGCGUCUGGAAAGGCGUGCGAUACAGGGUGACAGCCCCGUACACAAAAAUGCACAUGCUGUGAGCUCGAAGAGUAGGGCGGGACACGUGGUAUCCUGUCUGAAUAUGGGGGGACCAUCCUCCAAGGCUAAAUACUCCUGACUGACCGAUAGUGAACCAGUACCGUGAGGGAAAGGCGAAAAGAACCCCGGCGAGGGGAGUGAAAAAGAACCUGAAACCGUGUACGUACAAGCAGUGGGAGCCUCUUUAUGGGGUGACUGCGUACCUUUUGUAUAAUGGGUCAGCGACUUAUAUUCUGUAGCAAGGUUAACCGAAUAGGGGAGCCGAAGGGAAACCGAGUCUUAACUGGGCGUUAAGUUGCAGGGUAUAGACCCGAAACCCGGUGAUCUAGCCAUGGGCAGGUUGAAGGUUGGGUAACACUAACUGGAGGACCGAACCGACUAAUGUUGAAAAAUUAGCGGAUGACUUGUGGCUGGGGGUGAAAGGCCAAUCAAACCGGGAGAUAGCUGGUUCUCCCCGAAAGCUAUUUAGGUAGCGCCUCGUGAAUUCAUCUCCGGGGGUAGAGCACUGUUUCGGCAAGGGGGUCAUCCCGACUUACCAACCCGAUGCAAACUGCGAAUACCGGAGAAUGUUAUCACGGGAGACACACGGCGGGUGCUAACGUCCGUCGUGAAGAGGGAAACAACCCAGACCGCCAGCUAAGGUCCCAAAGUCAUGGUUAAGUGGGAAACGAUGUGGGAAGGCCCAGACAGCCAGGAUGUUGGCUUAGAAGCAGCCAUCAUUUAAAGAAAGCGUAAUAGCUCACUGGUCGAGUCGGCCUGCGCGGAAGAUGUAACGGGGCUAAACCAUGCACCGAAGCUGCGGCAGCGACACUAUGUGUUGUUGGGUAGGGGAGCGUUCUGUAAGCCGUUGAAGGUGUGCUGUGAGGCAUGCUGGAGGUAUCAGAAGUGCGAAUGCUGACAUAAGUAACGAUAAAGCGGGUGAAAAGCCCGCUCGCCGGAAGACCAAGGGUUCCUGUCCAACGUUAAUCGGGGCAGGGUGAGUCGACCCCUAAGGCGAGGCCGAAAGGCGUAGUCGAUGGGAAACAGGUUAAUAUUCCUGUACUUGGUGUUACUGCGAAGGGGGGACGGAGAAGGCUAUGUUGGCCGGGCGACGGUUGUCCCGGUUUAAGCGUGUAGGCUGGUUUUCCAGGCAAAUCCGGAAAAUCAAGGCUGAGGCGUGAUGACGAGGCACUACGGUGCUGAAGCGACAAAUGCCCUGCUUCCAGGAAAAGCCUCUAAGCAUCAGGUAACAUCAAAUCGUACCCCAAACCGACACAGGUGGUCAGGUAGAGAAUACCAAGGCGCUUGAGAGAACUCGGGUGAAGGAACUAGGCAAAAUGGUGCCGUAACUUCGGGAGAAGGCACGCUGAUAUGUAGGUGAAGCGACUUGCUCGUGGAGCUGAAAUCAGUCGAAGAUACCAGCUGGCUGCAACUGUUUAUUAAAAACACAGCACUGUGCAAACACGAAAGUGGACGUAUACGGUGUGACGCCUGCCCGGUGCCGGAAGGUUAAUUGAUGGGGUCAGCGCAAGCGAAGCUCUUGAUCGAAGCCCCGGUAAACGGCGGCCGUAACUAUAACGGUCCUAAGGUAGCGAAAUUCCUUGUCGGGUAAGUUCCGACCUGCACGAAUGGCGUAAUGAUGGCCAGGCUGUCUCCACCCGAGACUCAGUGAAAUUGAACUCGCUGUGAAGAUGCAGUGUACCCGCGGCAAGACGGAAAGACCCCGUGAACCUUUACUAUAGCUUGACACUGAACAUUGAGCCUUGAUGUGUAGGAUAGGUGGGAGGCUUUGAAGUGUGGACGCCAGUCUGCAUGGAGCCGACCUUGAAAUACCACCCUUUAAUGUUUGAUGUUCUAACGUAGACCCGUAAUCCGGGUUGCGGACAGUGUCUGGUGGGUAGUUUGACUGGGGCGGUCUCCUCCUAAAGAGUAACGGAGGAGCACGAAGGUUGGCUAAUCCUGGUCGGACAUCAGGAGGUUAGUGCAAUGGCAUAAGCCAGCUUGACUGCGAGCGUGACGGCGCGAGCAGGUGCGAAAGCAGGUCAUAGUGAUCCGGUGGUUCUGAAUGGAAGGGCCAUCGCUCAACGGAUAAAAGGUACUCCGGGGAUAACAGGCUGAUACCGCCCAAGAGUUCAUAUCGACGGCGGUGUUUGGCACCUCGAUGUCGGCUCAUCACAUCCUGGGGCUGAAGUAGGUCCCAAGGGUAUGGCUGUUCGCCAUUUAAAGUGGUACGCGAGCUGGGUUUAGAACGUCGUGAGACAGUUCGGUCCCUAUCUGCCGUGGGCGCUGGAGAAUUGAGGGGGGCUGCUCCUAGUACGAGAGGACCGGAGUGGACGCAUCACUGGUGUUCGGGUUGUCAUGCCAAUGGCACUGCCCGGUAGCUAAAUGCGGAAGAGAUAAGUGCUGAAAGCAUCUAAGCACGAAACUUGCCCCGAGAUGAGUUCUCCCUGACUCCUUGA